UGGGGAGUCGUCUAACGGCAGGACGCCACCCUUUGGAGGUGGAUAUUCUAGGUUCAAAUCCUAGCUCCCCAGCCA
rnacentral:tRNA from 1 species